rnacentral:rRNA from 1 species
GAUCAUGGCUCAGGACAACGCUGGCGGCGUGCUUCAUACAUGCGAGUCGAACGAGAAAUUCACUUCGGUGGAUGGAAAGUGGCGGACGGGUGAGUAAUGUGUAGAGAAUCUGCCCUAGAGUGGGGGACAACAGUUGGAAACGACUGCUAAUACCCCAUAUGCGCGUAGUUGAGAUACUAUUCGUGAAAACUCCGGUGCUCUGGGAUGAGUCUGCAUCUGAUUAGCUAGUUGGGGGUGUAAUGGACCACCAAGGCGACGAUCAGUAGCUGGUUUGAGAGGAUGAUCAGCCACAAUGGGACUGAGACACGGCCCAUACUCCUACGGGAGGCAGCAGUAGGGAAUUUUGCGCAAUGGGGGAAACCCUGACGCAGCAACGCCGCGUGACCGAUUAAGCCCUUCGGGGUGUAAAGGUCUGUCAGUGGGGACGAAACCUGACGGUACCCACAGAGGAAGCAUCGGCUAACUCCGUGCCAGCCGCCGC